UUGUUUCCAAAAAAAAAAAAAGAAACAGUCGUUCAGAUACAGAGAAGAUUAGCAUGGCCCCUGAGCAAGGAUGACACGCAAAUUCGUGAAGCGCUCCAUAGUUUU
rnacentral:snRNA from 1 species